UUAGUAGUGGUUCAGCUGAAAGAACGGGAAGGUUUUUCUGUGUGAGGUGGAUGUAGCGUCACAAAUCCGGGCGCCCAGUGCUUUCUGGACGGGCCUCGGGUUGCAGCCGCUGGGAAGUGUGAGGAGGGAGACUGAAGACAGCAAGCAUGGAGGCAGACAUCGCAGAUCUUCGAAACAAACUCAGAGAGUGUGAAAAGGAGCGACUGAAAGCCGCACAGUAUGGCCUGCAGCUGUUGGAGAGGCAGACUGAGCUGCAGAGCCAACUGGAUAAGUGUCACGAGAAGGUGAUGACCACGGCUGAGAAUCCUUGAGCUUGAUCUGAUUGUCAGAGAUGAAGAUGGAAACAUACUGGACCCUGAUAACACCAGCAUCAUCAGCUUGUUCCAUGCUCAUGAGGAGGCUACUGAAAAGAUCACAGAGCACAUCAAAGAAGAAAUGGUGAGCUGUGUUCUGGAGGCUUGGGCCAAGCAAAGCUGGCAUUUAGCACAUCCUAAACUUAAAAUAAUAGGCUAGUGGACUGCACUGUGUUAUUCAAAGGGCCAUCUGCCCUACAACCCAAGAUGAUCAGUAAUAACGCAGGCUUUAUUAAGUUUGUGUACUUAGAUCUGUAAGUCAUUGGGCAUGCAUCCCACAAGUAGUUAAAUGCCAGGCAUGUUUCCCAAUCUCGGAGCUCUUAGGUUCUAGAGUAAAGAAGAGAAGAAAGGUAGCAAAGAUGUAAAUUAAUAGUUAGAAAUUAAUUGCAGCUGAUGAUAGAAGGCAAUAAAGUAGACACUGUGAGUCAGGGGUUGCUUUAAGAGGUUUGGGCAGGAAAGGUCUCUUGGAGGAGUGAAAGAAUAAUGUGGAAGCCACCAGGA